UGAUAAUUAAGCCCUGUGAUAUCUUCAGAUUACAGCCUAUUAAGCUGCAACGCCCCACACAUUAUGUAAAUUAGAGCAGUACUGUCUUGAGAGGGGCCCUUCGUUUUUCUGGACAUCAGAAUUUUAUAUCAAUGGAUUGUCCUGGAAAUUGCCAUACAGGCUUUUUCCAUUGAACUAAAGGAAACUGUCCUUUAACAUGUGCAUGAAGCAGCUCCCUGGAUGGUGUGUAGUCUGUUUGUCAACAUGUGGAGCCCAGGUGUAUAUCAAGCUGUACAGCGACUAUCAGAAUGUUGGAGCAAAACAAAGAUCUGAUUUUAAUCAGAUUGAUUUAAAGGUAGGAGUAGUCUCCCCUGUUAAAGAUCAGUAAUGGGUGGAUAUACAAUGCUGGAUGCAGUCUGGUCAUCAACAGAGAGUUUUGACACCUGUAAUUUGCCUCUGUAACCUUUGCUGUGUUUAUCAGACAGAUGAUGAACCAGUCUACUUCUUUUUACAAGAGGUACCCCUCCAUAUUCACAAAGUUCCAAUGUUGAGUUUCCAUGACACCUAUUCAUCCACCACAGGAAAAGGAAUAUAGUUGACAGGACUUUUUGCGCUGUCCUUGGAAGCAGUUUAUGAUGGAACCAACAACAGUAGCCAGCUUCCUGAAAGAUUUUUAAUUGGACUGUGCCACAUUUGUCAAGAGGCCCAACUUCACAGAGAAAACCUGGUUGGUUAUAAAGGAUUGUUAUGAUUUGAUACCACUUCCAGUUUUUAAAGACACAAAUGGGCAUUUCCUGAACUUUCCAGUAAUUUACAACAAGGAACUGUACUGUGGCUCACUUUUUAUUCAGGAGAACUUUGUUUUCGUGUAAUUACAUGAGACUUUGAUCUCACAAAAAUUUGAUUCUGUGGUACAAUAGCAUUCCGUAAGAAUAUAAAGAGCUACAACCACAAUUCUUGAAAAUUUUGUCUAGUUAAUAUAAAGAGUUUAUUCUUAUCUCAUGAGAAAUUUAGCAAUCUAUCUAGUGAAGUAUGUUACUUCUUAUUUUUAUCAAUACAGUGUGUGCUAUGUCAUAUGAGAUAUGUGAGUCUUUAAACUUUCUUGAAAAAGAAUAUAUAUACUGCAUAUGUAAAUUAUACAGUAAAACUUGGUUAUGACAAAUUGGCUGGGACUUAUAAAAUUACUUCACUAUAUCCGUAAUUCAUUAUAACCGUAUAAGAAAUUCAUUAACUUUAUAUAGCUGGGGAUCCAAGAUGACUUCGUUGUAACCGUGAAUUCGCAAUAUCCUUGUUCAUACUAAACGAGUUUUACUGUAAUUAUUUUUCAUAUACAUUGGUUGAAUAUGAUAUAUUGAUUAUUGAACAUCUAUGAAAUCAUGUACAUUUGUAUAUUAAAAACUGUUUUUUAACAUGUCAUUUUUAUGGUGCUUUUCUGUAUCAGAUGAUGUACUGAUGGACUGUACCAAAAAUCUCAUGAUCAAGCUUCAUAUAUGUAUGGUGUCUAUUUUCAUAUUCUUGUAAUCAGAUAUAUUUUUUUGACAUUCAGAAAACUUUUUGAAAGAGAUGUAUAAUUGUGUAUCAGGCAGAGUAGAUGCAGUUUGAUUAUAUGAAAUAAGGUUAAAUAUUUUAUGCUCAGAAUAUUUUUCAGGGUUAUUUAGGUGUACGUGUAAAUGUAUCCUUCAUUUUCAUACUGUAAUAAUAUAUUAACAGAUAUGUAUACUUUUCAAUAUUUACUGAUAUCACUAUUUAUUAUAUACCAGUAAUUAUUUUAAUGAAUGAUUCCAGUGUCUCCGUAUUUGACAGUUCAAAACAUAUAUAAUUAUAUUAAAAUAAAAAACGUUUUUUUUCUUGACAAAUUUUUACACAUUAUACACAAGUAUUUUAAAGUAGUUGUCAUGGAAUGGUAAAUAAUCUGCUUUAUUGACAUAAAAAAAACAACAUAUUAUGUACAUCCAUAUGAAAAGAAAGAAUUUCAAAGUUUUUUUUAUAUAAAAAAUAAAACAACAAAAAGAAAUUCUCUGUGUGUUUAUUCCAUCAAUAUGUUUGAGAAUAAAUUGUAUCCAUCAUAUUUCCUCUCCAUUAUGUAGCACUUUGAUUUUGUUGUUCAGGAAUUAAGUUCAGCUUUGACAUUUGUUUAAGUAACCUAACCUUUUGAGUUGUUCAAAGUCAUGGGAGAUGUCACCACAAAGUUUAAUAUGUGUGAUUGGAUUUGAAAAAUAAACAGGAAAUUUCAAUAAAAUGCAACAACUACAUUAACCUCUUAUGGAUACAUGUAAUCAGCAAACUUUUAAAUGCGUGAAAUUUCAAAGAAUUGAAAAAUUUAUAGUUAAUUUAAAAUCCUAUUAAUUUUAUUAAUGCACACAAUAAUUGAAUGGAUGCAAACAUCAAAUUUAUUAUUAUUCUCAUAUAUAUAGAGCAAUAAAGUGAACAUUUAUGCCAUUGAUGAGAGCAAUAGCCAAUUAAUCUAAUUAUUCAAAUGAUACUUGCAUUAAAACAUUCCUUGAGUUCCUGAACACUACACCGGUGCUGGCAACAUUAAUUUAUAAAGAUUGUUUUAAUGCAAGCAUCAAAGUGAUAUUCCUCUAGUAUGCUCAUGGGCGUCGGAAGCGAAUUGAAAGUGGGGGGAUAAUCG